UACGGAGGGUGCGAGCGUUAUCCGGAAUUACUGGGUUUAAAGGGUGCGUAGGCGGCUGUGUAAGUCAGGAGUGAAAGUUUGCGGCUCAACCGUAAAAUUGCUUUUGAUAAUGCACGGCUGGAAUCAGGAUGAGGUCAGCGGAAUGUGGCAUGUAGCGGUGAAAUGCAUAGAUAUGCCAUAGAACACCAAUUGCGAAGGCAGCUGGCUAGACCUGUAUUGACGCUGAGGCACGAAAGCGUGGGGAGCGAACAGG
rnacentral:rRNA from 1 species